UGUUUACAGAUGGAUGGUUUUACUAUCAGUCCAGUUUAUACUUCAUUUCCUCUGAGAAGAAGAGCUGGUCUGAGAGCAGAAGAUACUGUACAGACAGAAGAGGAGAUCUGAUCAUUAUAAACAGCAGAGAGGAACAAAAUUUUGUUCACAAGAAGGCUGGUCUUUCCGGAGCCUGGAUUGGUCUGACUGACCAUGAAAAAGUGGGCAUUUGGAAAUGGGUUGAUGGCAGCACA
ensembl:processed_transcript